AUGAGAGGUGCAGGCUGAGCACA
rnacentral:miRNA from 1 species